rnacentral:rRNA from 1 species
AUUGAACGCUGGCGGCAUGCCUUACACGUGCAAGUCGAACGGUAACGGGCCUUCGGGUGCCGACGAGUGGCGAACGGGUGAGUAAUACAUCGGAACGUGCCCGAUCGUGGGGGAUAACGAGGCGAAAGCUUUGCUAAUACCGCAUACGAUCUACGGAUGAAAGCAGGGGACCGCAAGGCCUUGCGCGGACGGAGCGGCCGAUGGCAGAUAAGGUAGUUGGUGGGAUAAAAGCUUACCAAGCCGACGAUCUGUAGCUGGGCUGAGAGGAUGAUCAGCCACACUGGGACUGAGACACGGCCCAGACUCCUACGGGAGGCAGCAGUGGGGAAUUUUGGACAAUGGGCGCAAGCCUGAUCCAGCCAUGCCGCGUGCAGGAUGAAGGCCUUCGGGUUGUAAACUGCUUUUGUACGGAACGAAAAGCCUUCUUUUAAUACAGGAGGGUCAUGACGGUACCGUAAGAAUAAGCACCGGCUAACUACGUG